rnacentral:rRNA from 1 species
GAUUGCCCUAGUAACGGCGAGUGAAGCGGCAACAGCUCAAAUUUGAAAUCUGGCCCCCCGGCCCGAGUUGUAAUUUGUAGAGGAUGCUUCUGGGUAGCGACCGGUCUAAGUUCCUUGGAACAGGACGUCAUAGAGGGUGAGAAUCCCGUAUGCGACCGGCCCGCGCCCUCCACGUAGCUCCUUCGACGAGUCGAGUUGUUUGGGAAUGCAGCUCUAAAUGGGAGGUAAAUUUCUUCUAAAGCUAAAUACCGGCCAGAGACCGAUAGCGCACAAGUAGAGUGAUCGAAAGAUGAAAAGCACUUUGGAAAGAGAGUUAAAAAGCACGUGAAAUUGUUGAAAGGGAAGCGCUUACAACCAGACUUUGGGGCGGUGUUCCGCCGGUCUUCUGACCGGUCUACUCUCCGUCCCGAGGCCAACAUCAUCUGGGACCGCCGGACAAGACCUGAGGAAUGUAGCUCCCCCUCGGGGGAGUGUUAUAGCCUCUGGUGAUGCGGCGCGUCCCGGGUGAGGUCCGCGCUUCGGCAAGGAUGUUGGCGUAAUGGUUGUCAGCGGCCCGUCUUGA